rnacentral:rRNA from 1 species
AGAGUUUGAUCAUGGCUCAGAACGAACGCUGGCGGCAGGCCUCAUACAUGCAAGUCGAGCGGACUGUAGCAAUACAGUCAGCGGCGAACGGGUGAGUAACAGGUGGAUAAUCUACCUUUUGGCGGGGGAUAACGGCUGGAAACGGCCGCUAAUACCGCAUAAGAUUGCCGGGCCCUUGGGCCUGGCAAAGAAAGGCGCUGCAAGGCGUCACCAAAAGAUGAGUCCGCCCCCCAUUAGCUAGUUGGCGGGAUAAUAGCCCACCAAGGCAUCGAUGGGUAGCCGAGCUGAGAGGUUGAUCGGCCACACUGGAACUGAGACACGGUCCAGACACCUACGGGUGGCAGCAGUAGGGAAUAUUGCGCAAUGGGCGAAAGCCUGACGCAGCCAUGCCGCGUGAGUGAUGAAGGCCUUCGGGUCGUAAAGCUCUUUUCUGAGGGAAGAACAUCUGGCGCAGGAAAUGGCGCCGGUUUGACGGUACCUCAGGAAUAAGGAACGGCUAACUCCGUGCCAGCAGCCGCGGUAAUACGGAGGUUCCUAGCGUUGUUCGGAAUUACUGGGCGUAAAGGGAGCGCAGGCGGAUGAUCAAGUCUAAAGUGGAAUCCCGGGGCUUAACCCCGGAAGUGCUUUGGAUACUAGUCGUCUUGAGUUCGUGAGAGGAAGGCGGAAUUCAGGGUGUA